rnacentral:rRNA from 1 species
ACUUAAGCAUAUCAAUAAGCGGAGGAAAAGAAACCAACAGGGAUUCCCCUAGUAACGGCGAGUGAAGCGGGAACAGCUCAAAUUUGAAAUCUGGCCCUUGGGUCCGAGUUGUAAUUUGCAGAGGAUGCUUUUGGUGCGGUGCCUUCCGAGUUCCCUGGAACGGGACGCCUUAGAGGGUGAGAGCCCCGUACGGUUGGCCACCAAGCCUGUGUAAAGCUCCUUCGACGAGUCGAGUAGUUUGGGAAUGCUGCUCAAAAUGGGAGGUAUAUUUCUUCUAAAGCUAAAUACUGGCCAGAGACCGAUAGCGCACAAGUAGAGUGAUCGAAAGAUGAAAAGCACUUUGAAAAGAGGGUUAAAUAGCACGUGAAAUUGUUGAAAGGGAAGGAUUUAUGACCAGACUUUUUCUAGGGGGAUCAUCCGGUGUUCUCACCGGUGCACUUCCCCUAGUUGAGGCCAGCAUCGGUUUCUGUCGGGGGAUAAAAGCUUCAGGAAUGUGGCUCCCUCCGGGGAGUGUUAUAGCCUGUUGCAUAAUACCCUGACGGGGACCGAGGUUCGCGCAUUGCAAGGAUGCUGGCGUAAUGGUUAUUAAUCACCCGUCUUGAAACACGGACCAAGGAGUCGAACAUUUGUGCGAGUGUUUGGGUGUUAAACCCUCACGCGUAAUGAAAGUGAACGGAGGUGAGAGCCCUUCGGGGUGCAUCAUCGACCGAUCCUGAUGUCUUCGGAUGGAUUUGAGUAAGAGCAUAACUGUUCGGACCCGAAAGAUGGUGAACUAUGCGUGGAUAGGGUGAAGCCAGAGGAAACUCUGGUGGAGGCUCGCAGCGGUUCUGACGUGCAAAUCGAUCGUCAAAUCUGCGCAUGGGGCGAAAGACUAAUCGACCAUGACUAAG